UGUCCAGGACAGAGUUAACAUAAUUAAUUUUUGCAUUUAUAAUUUAAUUUAUGAAAUAAUUAAUAUUCUUUAAAUGUGGAGCACGUUUUCACCUGGUUAUCGUCGAAGAUUAAAUUUAAAUUGUUGUUAUUUCUCAAGAAGGAAGUUGGGUUACUGUAGAAACAUACGUUGAAGUACUUUUUUUGAUACAUAGCUACGAAACAGAGGCUGUAUCAAAGUUUUCAUGCUAUAGUGCUGCUAAAAACUAUGGAAAUAUGGGAUGUAAAUUGCUUGGUUGUAUGCACGGGAAUGAUAGAAAAGCCUCUUCUAAAGAAGUUUAUAAAAUUCAUUUAUUAUUAUAAUAUGUUUUUCUUUAUCAAUUUGUUUCCAAAAUAGCUCCUGUAUUUAAUGAUUAUAUGUCUAAACCUUUUAUUUUUGUUCUUUUGUCUAAUUUUCUUAAUAGGUAUCAGAUCACAGUUUUUCAAAAAGCUAUUUGCUAUAUUUUAAUUUCUUGGUCACCAAGAAAUUUAACUGUAGUUUUCAAAUAAAAAUUUAGAAAGUUUAAAAGUUCCCAAGUUUUAAGGUUUUAUUUCUUUGUUUGUUUAAUUUAUAUUAUUGAAAUGAGAUUUAAGUCAGUCCUAUAUUAACUAUUCAAGACAUACAUGCAUCAACUUAAAAUAUAACCAAUUAAUUUAUGCUAAUUCUUUUUAAAAUAAACUUUGUUUUAGAUAGCUGAGGAUGCUAAAUUUAGAACAGUGCAAUUCUCAAACAGUAUUAAAGAUGCUUUGUCAAGAAAUAAAGUAGUAAGGGAAAGAGUGUUUUCAGUUUGCUUUCCUUCAAAAAGUUCUCAUUUUGGUCAUUUUACUAGAGAUGUAAGAUUUCUUUUUUCUUUUUUGUGUAGAUAAAGUUAAACAAUAGAUUUUAAAAGAAAAAAAACAUUAAAGACUUAUCCAAAUUAAUUUU